rnacentral:rRNA from 1 species
UGCAAGUCGAACGAUGAAGCCCAGCUUGCUGGGUGGAUUAGUGGCGAACGGGUGAGUAACACGUGAGUAACCUGCCCUUGACUCUGGGAUAAGCGUUGGAAACGACGUCUAAUACCGGAUACGAGCUUCCACCGCAUGGUGAGUUGCUGGAAAGAAUUUUGGUCAAGGAUGGACUCGCGGCCUAUCAGCUUGUUGGUGAGGUAAUGGCUCACCAAGGCGACGACGGGUAGCCGGCCUGAGAGGGUGACCGGCCACACUGGGACUGAGACACGGCCCAGACUCCUACGGGAGGCAGCAGUGGGGAAUAUUGCACAAUGGGCGAAAGCCUGAUGCAGCAACGCCGCGUGAGGGACGACGGCCUUCGGGUUGUAAACCUCUUUUAGCAGGGAAGAAGCGAAAGUGACGGUACCUGCAGAAAAAGCACCGGCUAACUACGUGCCAGCAGCCGCGGUAAUACGUAGGGUGCAAGCGUUGUCCGGAAUUAUUGGGCGUAAAGAGCUCGUAGGCGGUUUGUCGCGUCUGCUGUGAAAUCCCGAGGCUCAACCUCGGGUCUGCAGUGGGUACGGGCAGACUAGAGUGCGGUAGGGGAGAUUGGAAUUCCUGGUGUAGCGGUGGAAUGCGCAGAUAUCAGGAGGAACACCGAUGGCGAAGGCAGAUCUCUGGGCCGCUACUGACGCUGAGGAGCGAAAGGGUGGGGAGCAAACAGGCUUAGAUACCCUGGUAGUCCACCCCGUAAACGUUGGGCGCUAGAUGUGGGGACCAUUCCACGGUUUCCGUGUCGUAGCUAACGCAUUAAGCGCCCCGCCUGGGGAGUACGGCCGCAAGGCUAAAACUCAAAGGAAUUGACGGGGGCCCGCACAAGCGGCGGAGCAUGCGGAUUAAUUCGAUGCAACGCGAAGAACCUUACCAAGGCUUGACAUAUACGAGAACGGGCCAGAAAUGGUCAACUCUUUGGACACUCGUAAACAGGUGGUGCAUGGUUGUCGUCAGCUCGUGUCGUGAGAUGUUGGGUUAAGUCCCGCAACGAGCGCAACCCUCGUUCUAUGUUGCCAGCACGUAAUGGUGGGAACUCAUGGGAUACUGCCGGGGUCAACUCGGAGGAAGGUGGGGACGACGUCAAAUCAUCAUGCCCCUUAUGUCUUGGGCUUCACGCAUGCUACAAUGGCCAGUACAAAGGGCUGCAAUACCGUAAGGUGGAGCGAAUCCCAAAAAGCUGGUCCCAGUUCGGAUUGAGGUCUGCAACUCGACCUCAUGAAGUCGGAGUCGCUAGUAAUCGCAGAUCAGCAACGCUGCGGUGAAUACGUUCCCGGGCCUUGUACACACCGCCCGUCAAGUCAUGAAAGUCGGUAACUACCCGAAGCCAGUGGCCUAACCGCAAGGAUGGAGC